rnacentral:lncRNA from 1 species
CGUACACAGAUAUUGAAUCAGCAUGUUGUACACCUGAAACUAAUAGAAUAUUGUAUGUCAAUUAGGCCUUAACAUUUUCGGAAAAAAGAAAAAAGAAGCAUACCUACAUUGCAAUAUUGUGAGGAUGAAAGUAAAUGGCCUAUUAAUUGAAGGUUAGUUUUGAUAUCAAGAAAGAGAACAGGAAGAUAAAACGAGAAGAAAUGAUUCCUUUUCUGAUGGUCACCUCCAGGAAAGACAGAGUCAAGCUAUAAAAAAGGGCAUAAUUCCAGAUUUGCAUCCCUCUCUUCUGAGAAGAGGCACAGUUUGGAUGCACAGCUAAGGAAGCAAACAGCUUACGGAAUCCCAGACAGCAUCCUCUCCGGCUCAGAGCAGGUGCUUUCAUUGCUUUUAUACCUCUCCUACGGGUGAGUUCUUCCAGCUUCAGAAGAGGUGGUAAUGCGCAUCGCUUUCAUCAAUACCAGCUUCAAUCCAAGGAAUGUCGCUCCUAAAAUAGCAGUGAACAUAAACCAUCUGCAUUUAAGUACUUGACAUUUUGGUAAAAUAUGACAGCUA